GCAAGUCGAACGAAGUAGCAAUACUUAGUGGCAGACGGGUGAGUAACAUGUGGGUAUCUGCCCUUUGGCCUGGAAUAACACGAGGAAACUUGUGCUAAUACCGGAUAAGUCUUUACGGAGAAAGCUUUAUGCACCAUUGGAUGAGCCUGCACUUGAUUAGUUUGUUGGUGGGGUAAUGGCCUACCAAGACUGUGAUCAAUAGCUGAUUUGAGAGGAUGAUCAGCCACAUUGGGACUGAGACACGGCCCAAACUCCUACGGGAGGCAGCAGUAGGGAAUCUUGCACAAUGGAGGAAACUCUGAUGCAGCGAUGCCGCGUGAGUGAAGAAGGCCCUUGGGUUGUAAAGCUCUUUCGUCGGGGAAGAAAAUGACUGUACCCGAAUAAGAAGGUCCGGCUAACUUCGUGCCAGCAGCCGCGGUAAUACGAAGGGACCUAGCGUAGUUCGGAAUUACUGGGCUUAAAGAGUUCGUA
rnacentral:rRNA from 1 species